UUUACUGGCUUCAGCGGUGCAGUUGCAAGCGCGGCUGGUCAUCUGUCCGUUGCCACCUUGGCCUGCUGCUGCCACCCUGGCGACGCGAACUCUGUGCCGCUGUGCCUCCACCCUGUCUUGGGACGGCCGGCGCUAAGAAUUCUCGCUACGACAGUCGAUUCAGCCAGGAGAGGGUUUAAAAUGGCCGACUGCGGCACGCUGGACACACCCUUCUUGUUUUGCCUGAUUUGAGACAACCGGUCAUUUGCAGCAGUAGAGAUUUUUUUCUUACCUAUUAUUAAUAUUUUGGUGUGUUAAUAAUACAGAUGUCCAAUGGUAAAGGAAAGGUUAUUUCUUUUUUUCUUAUGAUAAAAGACUGAAAAUGCAUGGAUUUUUAAAAUUAUUUGGUUAGGAUAGAUUCGUCGAAGUGGAAUUACUACGUCAAAGGGUGACACCAAAUGUGAUCAGAAAUCAUGCCAGUGGUGAAGAGGUAUAUUGAGUGCUGCCUGGCCCAGUGAGGCUACUAGAGAAUUGGGAGAGGCUCAAAUCAGCAUCCUACACAUGGUUAUCAAACCAUUGUGAAGUCUCGAUUCUUGGGCAGCCAGAAACCUUGUCGUUGGUCAAGAGCAACACUAAGACUACCUGUCACUUAUAUUGAGGCUUCCUGCCCAGUGGGUUCACCAGUGAGCCAGAAUGAAUCACUGUUGCCAUGGAUAUCCUUGUGAGGCAGCCGGGAAGCCUUGGAUGAAUUAUGAAAGAUAUGUUUGAAAAGCAUUUUAGAGAGUCCACCAGAUCUGCCAUGUGAGUGAAUGUGCAACAGAAGAGGGGUGCCUCUCAGCGAUUAAGCUUCAGAAGAACUGGUGCAUCUCAGAAGAUGGUUGAAAUUGAUCCAAGUCCUUUGAGGCCACUGCUACCACCAGAGCUGUUCUGGGUUAGACAGUACCCCUCCCUAGCCUGAAGUGAUUCGAAGGAGCCUCAUGCUACAGUACAGAAGAUUUCUUGGCACAGAAGAUUUCUCAUCCUUGGAAGUUAAGACACCAUCCAUACAAAGGCCCUUUCGAGGACCUCUCAGCACAUUGUGGAGUACCUUCCAUCAAGCAGCCCAAUACUAAGAAGUCGAUUGCCUAAUGACAACAUUGAUAAAGUGUACCCUAAAGUGAACUAGGAGGCAAAAUUCAGAUGGGAGCUUGCCAUCACUAUCAACAAAUACGCCACAAUCUUUUAGGAGACCUUUAGAAACUACUUGUCAAGUUCUCACCACAAAUACCAUUGGAAUUGCAAUUGGAAUGGCAUUGAAUGUAUAGAUUAAUUUUUGGAGAGCUGUCAUCUUUAUAAUCUUCUCAUACAUAUGAAUGUGCUUCUUCUCUGUGCUGCCUUUUGAGCUGCCAGGCACUGUGCUGGGUGAUGGGAAUAUGGAGACGAAUUAGACACAGUUCCUGCCCUCAAGGAGUUCUCAGUCUAGUGAGAGAGUUCGACAUGUACACAGAUAAUUACAACAGUAUGGUAUGCGCUACAAUGGAGAAAGCUGUGAAAAGUUGUGUCACACCUGAAUAAAGGUUAUCCUAAAAACGUAGAAAAAUGCUUUUGAGUUGGUCAAAACUGGAUUUGAAACCUGACUCAACUGCUUAAGCUGUGUGAUCUAAGGCAUGUUACUUAACCUCAUUGAACCUCACUUUCCUCAUCUAAUAUGAUAAUUAAUUUUCAGAAUUUCCAUGAGGAUGUUUGUAAAGUGUAUGUUAGAAGCACUCUAAAUUACAGCUAUCAUUGUUAGUUCUUGGGACACUCACCGCAUGACAGAAACAACAGCAGGCCCUGGUGGCUGGGAGGACAUCAUGGAUCCAACAGCAACCUGGAGUUGUGCUCUUCUGAAGAAAUGCUACUCGGAUGGAUAUAAUACAACCUGCUAAGUGUCCUAGCACUUAUCAGGUUGUAUUAUCAUUGUCCGUGUCUAUGGCUCUCGUCUACCAGACUCUAAAUUCCUUACGGGCAAGGAUGGUGCCUUAUUCAUCUUUGUAUUCACAGUACCUAAUCCAGUGCACAUUGUAGGCCUCAUUAAAUGUUUGUUGAAUGAAAAAAUGAAUCAUCAACAGACAUUAAUUGGGCGCCUGCUCUGUGAUCUCCAUGAGCUCAGCUUGUCCCCGCCAGUUGCCUACAACGAACAAGCUGUCUUCAGUAUGCUCCCUCCUGAAGCUUACUCCUAUCUUCUAAUUCUUUUGCUGAGGACUUUUCUGUGUAGUGCAAGGAUAGCAAAUAUAUUUCAUCUCAAACACCAUCUCCAAUUGAUUAAUAGUGCCUGCCUUGAUUAUGUCUUAUAAAAAGGAUUCUGAAGCUAGGUCUCAGCUUAGUGUGAAAGAGGGUUAUAACUAAUUAGUGAUGUUUGCUGAGGGUGGGAGAAGGGGGAGUAGCAGCACAAGUGCCACGUAUAUGUCAUUUAAUGUUGUGUUUUCCAUGAAAUACUCUGUCUCUACGCCUGCAGUUUAGUCUUGGCUACUUGUAGAUGUUGCAUGGCUGCUGCUGCUGCUACAAUUGCUGCCAGUUGCUCCUUGGGUAGGACCAGAGUGAUCAUUGGUCAGAAACUUCAUCCUCACUGUCUCGGGUUUGCUGCUGUGGCUGGUAUUCACAGUUUUCCCCUUUCAACUUUACUUCAGCUAUAUUCCCUUACUACAAUGACAGGUAGGCCUCCACUUUCUGUUUACCACUCAAAAGGCUCAUAUUUCCUUUUUCUUAUUUAGUGUGAUUAAUCAUUAUUGCUCCAUGAGAAAGCUUCUUUCCAUCAGAAGAUGUGACAACUAAAAUACAAGUUAACCAUUCCAUCAGGGCCCUACAAUGAAUCAGAUAAGUUCCCUUUUAAUAUGAGAGAAAAUUGAGUAUACUUGCAGGCUGUGGGGCAGGAAGAACUGAGAAUGGAGUCAUUAUAGAUGUGGGAGAGAGAGAUGAUAGAUGAAAUGAGAUCCUGGAAGAUGAUGCAGGUAGAGGUGGGAAGGCGAAACCUGUGGCUCUAGAACGUGAGUGGAGGAUUAGCCUUAGAUGAAAGGAAUUACCUCUUCAUUGGAGCAUAGAGAUAGGGAUAGGAGUUAAGAGAGAGUACUUGAUAAGAGUGUUGAAGAUUUGUAAUUGUAGAGGUAGAUGAUGGAGAGGAAGCUGACCAGGGACAGGAUUAUGAAGACAAACCAGAGUCUCUCAGGAAUAUCCAGGCCAAAAGGCUGGAGUGGGGCCAUUAACAGGAGAGCUUAUAAUGAGAAUCUAGUUUGAAACUUGAUUAGAAACUCAGGAAAAUAUGAAGUGAUCUUGGGCCAUUGUCACAAGUAACAUUUGGUCGCCUGUAACUUAGCUUGAUUGAGGAGUGGGCAGCUAACAAGAGAGGAAUUACACAGAAAUGGAUUUGAGAAUCCAGAUUAUAUGGAAGAAAGUUGGAAGUGAGCCCAGAGUCUGUGAAUAAAAAGAGGCCUUAGUGCGAUCAAGAUGGGUGUUGAGUAGUUGGAAAACAGGAUGAGACCUGUAAUCAGAGAGUGAAUUUGGGAAUGUUAAGAUUUCAAAACUGGAAUGGUCAAGAUGCCUGGGAACCUGGGAUGUCAGAUGGUCAUUUACAUGGAUAUUGAGGUGACCCAGGAUUACAGCAAAUGCUGGGCUGGUAAUGAACACUGGGCCAGGUACGAUAGGCUUCAGUGAGGAAUGAUCUGGAGGUUGGUCAUGGCAGCUGUGCAGAUGCAAGAGAAGAGGAUGUAGUGGGAUAGUAUGAGCCUCAGAGUAGUGGUGGGGAUUAUUAGGAGAUACAAAAACUAUAGUUUGUACAUUGCACUGAGGUGUUGGCUGGCAGAAAGCCCAGCUGAAAUGAUUCCCUCCUUUAUUGAGUGUUUGCUCUAGCCUGGCACCUUGCCAUUUAUCCCUUUUGGGUCUGUCACAUUUCAGGUGUGAGAGAAUGAGCAGCAAUGCCAGGCAAGGACAGCUAGGGGAGCUGCUGGCCCUUAGCACUGAUGGAAUCCUGUGGCCAUCUCCAAGUCUUUGAAAGAGCACCAGACUGGUCAGCCAUUCUAGGUUCAGGAUACAUCCAAUUUACUGGCCAUAUUGUAGAUGCUUCCUGUGCUGUUGGGAAGGAGGGCUGGAAAUUGAUGUGGAGAGAUGGCCCUUGGACUCGGAAGGUAAAAUUUAGAAGAGAGUCUCUGUGAGCCCUCUGACAUUGCAUAUAGUCAUUUUUCUUCUGUUAUGUCUUCAAAUGAGUCAAUAUUCCAGUAAAGGUUUAGAGCCACCGUGUUAAGUGAUCAGGCCCUCAGACAUCCCAACCCCUCCUGUGGGGGCUGCUUUAUAUUUAUUCCUCAGGAGGAGCUGGUAGAAGACUUCAUGUGAGGGAGAAGAAAAGGAAAGAAGCAGAGGAUGACUGCAGCCUCUUUUCAUCUCAGCAUCACAAAGCAUGACUCAACAGAGGGAUCACUUUCUUGAGACUCUCCAGACCACAGGCCAUGUCUGUGACAGCCCACAUCUGGGAGGAACCUUAUUGUGAAUGAAUGAAUGAAGCCUCAGUGAGUGUUGCAAGUGACACCUAUCUUUCUCUCUCCAUAUAAGGAGAGAGAAGGAGUGGAGGGCAGAGAGGAAAGAGAGGAAGGCUAUGAAAUCUCAUAAUGGAAUAACAAAUGCUUGACAUUUUAGUGGAUAUUGGACCUAGAAGCCUACCUGAAUGAAGGAAGCAAACCUGAGAUCCCUGGUGUUUGUGAGUGAAACUGGGAGUGAACUCCUUACUGCCCUUAGGAAUGGACGAGGGAGAAAAGUGAGGGGGGGGGGGGGGGUCAUAAAAUCCUUUACUUCAGUGGAGGAGUCAGUGAGACUCGCUUCAUAAACCUAUAAUUUUUUAAGGUGGAUGGAAGAUAAGUUGUUGCACUGCACUGCUUGUGUUGCUACUUGUAAGAGUCACUGCCAACCACUCUUCUCAGGUAGGGCUGCAUUUGUGGAGAUUUUUGUUGACCCUUCUUGAAAAGCAUCCCAGUACAAGGUUUGCAACUUAGAACAACUCUGGUUCAGUGACAGGGUGUUAAAGGGGGUGAGGACAGAGGAGGUAGGACAAGUAGUAUCAAACAGCUCAGUUUUUUGUUUUUAAUAGGCUGGCUGGGCCAGAGGCAGUAAGCAGAAUGGCUACAGGCAACCCCAAACACCAGAUAUGGCAUAAGGAAACAGUACAAUGAAAGGUCAAUGAUUCUAGCUGUUAUUUGUCAUUCCUCAGAGCAUGAUGGAAUAUCUACAAGAAAAGGAAGAGCUGCUUUGGAGAAGGAUAAUAAAGGAUUCUUUCAUAGAAGAGAUUUAGAAGAGGGGAAAUGUUCAACUUUGUAACAUGGGUAUUAUAGUUUUCAAAGACAUCUGUUCUCUACAUGGGUCAUGGAGAUUGGUACCAGUAUCAGCCUGUGGCUGACUAGGCCAGUUUAACUUAGAGGUUUUGUGCUCUUGGAGAGAUGCUCCCAAUCUCUCUCACUUUGACAGGUGUUCAUCUGCAAUGAGUCCAGUACCUGAAGGAGCAAGAGGACAACAAGCAUCCAUGGGACAACAGUAGCCUUCUGAGUGAAGAUAGCAACUGAAAAGAUCAUGGGCUUGGCUGGAUUGGGCUGGGCUUGUUUGUUUUUUCAAAAUAAAGAACAGGUUUUUUUCCUUGAUGAUAAAAGUAAUUGCUGAUUGUUAAAAAAAAAAAUAGUGAAAGGUAUAGAUUAAAAAGUAAAGAAUACCUAUAAUCUUAUAACCCAGGAAAUAGUAACUCAUAAAAUUAGAGUGUUUCCUUUUUCACUUUUAGAAAAAAUGCAUAUAACACAAUAUAAAAACAAAAUUGGCAUCAUAUCAUGUUGUUCUUCAACUUUGUUCAUUUGAAAAUAAAUAAGCAUAUUUCCAUGUCAUUGGCAUUCUUUGAAAACACAGUAUUAGCUCUCACAUAGUAUUUCAUAUGGAUCUAACAAUUUAUUUAGAUGAUCCCAUGCUGUUGGACAUUUUGGAUAUUACCAGUUUUGCCUAUAAAAUUGAAGUAAUGAACAUCAAUGUACGUUAAUCUUUAUGUGCAUCUCUAAUGAUUUCUUUAGAGUAAAUUUCUAGAAUUAGAAUUACUGAGUUUGAAUGAUGAGAGCAUUAUUAGGGUACCUGGAAGGUUGUUGAAUUGUCUUCAAUAUAGUUGUAUAAAUUACAUUCCCAUCAGUGGUGUAUACAUGUGCGUAUUUCUCCACACAUUCAUCAAAACAUGACCUUUUAAAAAUCUCUGCUCAUUCGAGAGAAAUAUACGUUUGUUGGUUUAGAGAUUUUUAUUUCUAAUUUACAUACAGUAAAAUUCACUCUUAUGGUGUAUAGUUCUAUGGGUUUUGACAAAUAUAGAGUCAUGUAUUCUGCCACUCCAGUACCAUACAGAACAGUUUUAUCACUAAUUAUUCCUCUCGUUUGCUCUUUUUGUUGUAAGCCCCUUUCCCCAUUCCCAACCCCUGGAAACCACUGAUAUGUUCUUUAUCCCUAUGGUUUUGCCUUUUCUGGAACAUAUUAAUGGAAUCAUGCAAUAUGUAGACCUUUUGGUCUGGCUUCUUCCACUUAGUAAUAUGCAUUUAAGAUUCAUCCAUGUCAUUUGUUAUGUCAGUCAAUAGUUCAUUCCUUUUUAUUGUACUUCAUUGUAUGGAUGUAGCACAAUUUUUUAUCCAUUCACUAAUUGAUGAACAUGUGACAUGUUUCCAGUUUUGGUGAUUAUGAAUAAAGUUGCUAUAAACUUUCA